CCCUUAGAUGUCCUGGGCCGCACGCGCGCUACACUGAUGCAUUCAACGAGUUUCACCUUGGCCGAGAGGCCUGGGCAAUCUUUUAAACCUGCAUCGUGAUAGGGAUAGAUUAUUGCAAUUAUUAAUCUUGAACGAGGAAUUCCUAGUAAGCGCGAGUCAUCAGCUCGUGCUGAUUACGUCCCUGCCCUUUGUACACACCGCCCGUCGCUCCUACCGAUUGAGUGCUCAGGUGAAUAAUUCGGACUGCAGCAAUGUUUGGAUCCCGAACGUUGCAGCGGAAAGUUUAGUGAACCUUAUCACUUAGAGGAAGGAGAAGUCGUAACA
rnacentral:rRNA from 1 species